rnacentral:rRNA from 1 species
AUUGAACGCUGGCGGCAGGCCUAACACAUGCAAGUCGAACGAGCGGCGGGCGGGUGAGUAGUACCUGGGAAUUUCCCAGUGGGGGGGAAUAACAGUUAGAAACGACUAAUAAUACCUCAUAUUCUUGGUGUGUCCAGGUGGGAUUAGCUAGUUGGUGGGGUAAUGGCUCACCAAGGCAACGAUCCCUAGCUGGUCGGACAGGAUGAUCAGCCACACUGGAACUGAGACACGGUCCAGACUCCUACGGGAGGCAGCAGUGGGGAAUAUUGCACAAUGGGGGAAACCCUGAUGCAGCCAUGCCGCGUGUGUGAAGAAGGCCUUCGGGUUGUAAAGCACUUUCAGCGAGGAGGAGUUACUCGAAGAAGAAGCACCCGCUAAAUCCGGGCCAGGAGCCGCGGUAAUAC